AUCUACGGCCAUACCACCCAGAACGCACCUGAUCUCCGAAGCUAAGCAGGGUUGGGCCUGGUUAGUACGUGGAUGGGAGUCUGCCUGGGAAUACGGGGUGCUGUAGGCU
ensembl:rRNA 5S_rRNA 5S ribosomal RNA